GACGAACGCUGGCGGCGUGCUUAACACAUGCAAGUCGUACGGUAAGGCCCUUUCGGGGGUACACGAGUGGCGAACGGGUGAGUAACACGUGAGUAACCUGCCCACAACUUUGGGAUAACGCUAGGAAACUGGUGCUAAUACUGGAUAUGUGCUCCUGCUGCAUGGUGGGGGUUGGAAAGCUCCGGCGGUUGUGGAUGGACUCGCGGCCUAUCAGCUUGUUGGUGGGGUAGUGGCCUACCAAGGCGGCGACGGGUAGCCGGCCUGAGAGGGUGACCGGCCACAUUGGGACUGAGAUACGGCCCAGACUCCUACGGGAGGCAGCAGUGGGGAAUAUUGCACAAUGGGCGCAAGCCUGAUGCAGCAACGCCGCGUGCGGGAUGACGGCCUUCGGGUUGUAAACCGCUUUCAGCAGGGACGAAGCUUUUCGUGACGGUACCUGCAGAAGAAGCACCGGCUAACUACGUG
rnacentral:rRNA from 1 species